AUUGAACGCUGGCGGCAGGCCUAACACAUGCAAGUCGAGCGGCUGCACAGAACUUGCUCCUUCUUACGGCGGCCGACGGGCGAGUGAUGCCUAGAAAUCUCGCUGUCUGUUGUUUAGAGCGGGCGGAAGCGGGGGCUCAUACCCCAUAAGUCCUUACGACCAACGUGGGGGAUCUUCGGACCUCCCGCUAUCAGAUGAUCCUAUGUGCCGAUGUCGGAUUAGCUAGUUGGCGGGGUACAGGCCCACCAAGGCGACGAUCCGUAGCUGGUCUGAGAGGAUGAUCAGCCACACUGGAACUGAGACACGGUCCAGACUCCUACGGGAGGCAGCAGUGGGGAAUAUUGGACAAUGGGCGCAAGCCUGAUCCAGCCAUGCCGCGUGUGUGAAGAAGGUCUUCGGAUUGUAAAGCACUUUUAUUGGGGAAGAAAAGCAGCAGGUUAAUACCUCGCUGUUCUGGCGGUACCAAAAGAAUAAGCACCGGCUAACUUCGUG
rnacentral:rRNA from 1 species